GUGUCAGCAGCCGCGGUAAUACGGAGGGUGCAAACGUUAAUCGGAAUCACUGGGCGUAAAGCGCGUGUAGGCGGCUCGUUAAGUGGGAUGUGAAAGCCCUGGGCUCAACCCGGGAAUUGCAUUCCAGACUGGCGAGCUAGAGUGCAGUAGAGGGAGGUGGAAUGACCGGUGUAGCGGUGAAAUGCGUAGAUAUCGGUCAGAACACCAGUGGCGAAGGCGGCCUCCUGGACUGACACUGACGCUGAGACGCGAAAGCGUGGGGAGCAAACAGGAUUAGAUACCCUGGUAGUCCACGCCGUAAACGCUGAGAACUAGCCGUUGGGGCCUUCGGGCUUUAGUGGCGCAGCUAACGCGAUAAGUUCUCCGCCUGGGGAGUACGGCCGCAAGGUUAAAACUUAAAUGAAUUGACGGGG
rnacentral:rRNA from 1 species